rnacentral:tRNA from 1 species
CUCCAGUUGUCUGAAUGGUUUAGGUCCUAGUCUGCAAAACUAUGGUAUGUUGGUUCAAAUCCAAUACUGGAGU